rnacentral:lncRNA from 1 species
AUGACAAGGAAGAGGGAGUAUCCUAGGGAGACCCUAAAGAGCUAUGAAAUUUCCCACGGUGUCCCUAGGGACAGUGUUGGGGAAAAAGAUGAAUUGCUUCAGCUCAGUCCAUUUUUAAGACAUUCUGUUCUGAAGAGGACAUUCAAUGUCACUCUACCAAAUCCUUCCCUGAUCAAGAGAGAAAACACUUUUACUACAGGACAAAAAGCCAAACAAAAACGCUCAGGAAGCAAAGUAAAAUCUUCUAAAUGUCCUGGGCUGCAUACAUCAUCAGAGGAGAAUUUUGAUCACCUGUUUCCAGGCCUUGGUAAAGCAAUUCAGGAUAAAUGUUCCAUAAGACCCUGGGUGGCUAAUUCAUGGAUUGUGAUAAAAAAACACAACAUCCAAGCAACACCUAGCAAAGGGCAUAUGGGUAUGAAUAUAUGAGAUUCUGGACUUAAAAUGAAAUACAAACAAGAUUGACACUGCACUGUCUGAAGUAUUCUUCAUGCUGCAGUAGGAUCCUUUAUAGGAGUCUUUUUUUUUUCUUUUUAGCAAAAUGUCUAAUCAUGUGAC